CCUGGACCUCACCCAUUCUUCUCCCUUCCCAUCCUCCUUAAUCUUAUGUUUGGCCUAAAGAAAGAAUCAUGGUAAAACAUCCAAAACCCUCAAGACUGGCCGAGGGAACACAGGAAGAUUGCUGAAUUCCUGGUAAUAUUAUGGUUCCUGAGUCUUCUGCCGUGCUUCUUUGCUCCAAUUGGUAUCAUCCCAAUAUAUGUGUAUUCACUUGCGCUUUAUGGGUUUAUGCACUUCUUUCUUAUCAACCCCCCAAAAAACUUUCUACUAUAAAUCCAGAUUUUGGUUGUUUAAACUUCUGAACCAGAAUUUUGCAACAGAAAUACAUACAGAGUGCGAGCCACUGUUCAGUGCAUUCCUGCUUGGCUUCGCUUCAUCCAGUGCCUGUGCUGGUACCGUGACACAAGAAGAGCCUUUCCUCUUCCAGUAAAUGCUGCCUGGCAAAUACUCUACGACUUUCUUCACCCUGACAUUUCCAGCCCUUUACAACACUCACAAAGACCCAGUUUUUGCCACUGACUGUUGCAUGUGGAGUUGAAAGAAGAUGUGCAGUGGAGCAGCAAUACACAGUGUCAUGCAGAUAGAAUGUAUGCAACCUGGAAAGGGUAGAGAACAACACAGUUUACACCAGGAAGAAGUGAUAAAUUGUGAGUGUCUAUUAUUUUAACAUAUACCUAGGUGUAAGUUUAUAUGCCUUACCAUUUAAUAAUGAUUGUGUCAGCAAACAGUUAUGUAUCUUAUGAGAUAAGACAUACUGAAUCCAGUUUUUCUAGACCUGCAAGGUAUCAGGUCUUUCUGACUGUGCAAUUCUGGUGUCAGUAAAAGUGUGAGCAUUUAUUUGACUAAAAUAAUGAUCCUAAGGUCCAAGAAGGCAUUCAGAAAUCAAGGCCUAUGUCUCUUCCAAUGUUAUUUCAAAUGGUUACAAACUAUCUUGUGUGUUGUCUUAUGUCUUAUAAACCCUAUAUAAACAACAUUUUUUUUUCUUUUUUUCGGAGCUGGAGACCGAACCCAGGGCCUUGCACUUCCUAGUCAAGUGUUCUACCGCUGAGCUAAAUCCCCAACCCCAACAACAAUUUUUUAAACAUAACACACUUUUAUACCUUAAACCUUUUCAAAAAUGUCUUCAACCUUGAAUGACAUCACUUUAUCCUCCUAGCAUUCGCACUAUUGUAUAUUUCUUUUUCUAGAAAUAUCACAAAUGCUGCGGGCGUCCAUUUCCUUCUGUGGGAAACUCCCAUUCUCCUUGAUGUUUUUGCAGCUCUUUGUAGUUCAUUUGAACUCAGCUUCACUUAUGUAGUAAACGUCUGUUACUCAGCAAAUUAUCAGUUACCCUGGUAUCAUUCCAUACUCAACUCACUAAUAACUUUAAAAUGAUCUGUAAAUACUUGUUUAAUAGGACAAAUUGUGGAGAAUGCAUGAGACAGUAUGAGAAACUGACCAAAAUUUAAAACUUUUUGAGGUUAGAUGAUGUGAUCAUUAUUUUUCCUGGUAACGCAGAACCAGUUUAUUGGAUAUCUAGCCAUAUCUUGUAACUGGAGAACAUCAUGGGGACUCAAGAAGUUACCAGAGGAUGAUUUCAGAGAACAAAUGGCACUCAAAACCAAAAAGUUCAAAUUGUAUAACUAUGUUUACAAAUUAUUUUUAUUCUGAUUUGAUGUGCUUUAUUGUGUUCUCGGAAUAAAGCCAAAAGUUUCCAGCAUAAAGACAGAUUAGCCUUUGUAUGGGUGAUGCCUCAGUUGGGGGAAGCGGGGAGUGAAAGGCAUGGAUCUCUGUAGCUUGAGGGAAGCUCGGCUCCAUGAACAUAAAGGGCAAGAAAGUGCCUCAUCACAGCCUCUGUUGUGUUCUCAGCUCUUUCUCUGGAGUCCUCUGUGCUCCUGAAGGCUAAGCAUUGAUGAUCCAGUGUGUGAAGGAGGCUCUAAAGUAAAAAAACACCCCAGGUGCUCUUGGAGAGAAAGUGGUGCAGGAUCUUCCUGUGGUUCUGCAUUGUUUUUUCCUCCCAAUCUUUUACCCUAAGCUGUCACCUAGUAUUAGAAGUUUAAAUUUCAUGUUUAGACAUCCAAAGAGUACACUGAAAUGUUGCAGACCCCUAGUAAACAUUUGUAUAAUUUUGUUUAUGGUUAGUUCAAUGAUUCUAAUGGCACAUCAAAGAAGUCAUAUUU